GGGAAUGUGGCUUAGUGGUAGAGUACUUGCCUAGCAUGCAUGAAACCCUGAGUUCAUUUCCU
rnacentral:tRNA from 1 species